CCGGAAUUUUUUAGCAACAGAGUUUGAUCCUGGCUCAGAUUGAACGCUGGCGGCAGGCCUAACACAUGCAAGUCGAGCGGAUGAAGAGAGCUUGCUCUCUGAUUCAGCGGCGGACGGGUGAGUAAUGCCUAGGAAUCUGCCUGUAGUGGGGGACAACGUUUCGAAAGGAACGCUAAUACCGCAUACGUCCUACGGGAGAAAGCAGGGGACCUUUCGGGCCUUGCGCUAUCAGAUGAGCCUAGGUCGGAUUAGCUAGUUGGUGAGGUAAUGGCUCACCAAGGCGACGAUCCGUAACUGGUCUGAGAGGAUGAUCAGUCACACUGGAACUGAGACACGGUCCAGACUCCUACGGGAGGCAGCAGUGGGGAAUAUUGGACAAUGGGCGAAAGCCUGAUCCAGCCAUGCCGCGUGUGUGAAGAAGGUCUUCGGAUUGUAAAGCACUUUAAGUUGGGAGGAAGGGUUGUAGAUUAAUACUCUGCAAUUUUGACGUUACCGACAGAAUAAGCACCGGCUAACUCUGUGCCAGCAGCCGCGGUAAUACAGAGGGUGCAAGCGUUAAUCGGAAUUACUGGGCGUAAAGCGCGCGUAGGUGGUUUGUUAAGUUGGAUGUGAAAGCCCCGGGCUCAACCUGGGAACUGCAUUCAAAACUGACAAGCUAGAGUAUGGUAGAGGGUGGUGGAAUUUCCUGUGUAGCGGUGAAAUGCGUAGAUAUAGGAAGGAACACCAGUGGCGAAGGCGACCACCUGGACUGAUACUGACACUGAGGUGCGAAAGCGUGGGGAGCAAACAGGAUUAGAUACCCUGGUAGUCCACGCCGUAAACGAUGUCAACUAGCCGUUGGGGACCUUGAGUCUUUAGUGGCGCAGCUAACGCAUGGAUUGAAACGCAAUGGGGACCGC
rnacentral:rRNA from 1 species